AUCACCUUUGGGGUUUGUAGAUAAAGGAAGUUUGGUGUGGCGAAAGAAGAGAUCGAUGGCUCUGAUGCGAAGCUAGACAAUGAGGAGCUUGGGCGACUCAAGGAGGUUAAUAUUGACGAAGCUUCGGCGCGUCGUCAUGUUCGUGAUUCCUUGAAAGAUGUCCAGCUUAAUCUCGAUCAUAUCCUCUUCAAGACACCAGAGACUGGGAUUAAGACAAAGGAGGUAAAAAAAGACAAGGAUUUGGUUUUAAUUCAAUUUUUCUUUAAUCAAAGUUAGUUUAUAGCUUGAAGCAACUGUAAAAGAAGACAAGGAAUGGCGUUGGCUGUUAAAUGGUAUGAGUUGGAGAUCUACUAGAGCUGCCUCGGUUUCUUUAUGACUUGGUUUGGUGAAGAAAUGUACUUGCGUUUUUUUUCUUUAUGACUUGGUUGGUGAUUCAAGCCUUCUUUGUAUCUUUUGGGUAUUUGAUAGAAUGAUUCUUUGUAAAAUGUAUGUUUUAUAUAAUAUUAAUUUUAUUUAUGAAUCAAUUUGCAAUC